GGUUAAGCGACUAAGCGUACACGGUGGAUGCCCUGGCAGUCAGAGGCGAUGAAGGACGUGCUAAUCUGCGAUAAGCGCCGGUAAGGUGAUAUGAACCGUUAUAACCGGCGAUUUCCGAAUGGGGAAACCCAGUGUGAUUCGUCACACUAUCAUUAACUGAAUCCAUAGGUUAAUGAGGCGAACCGGGGGAACUGAAACAUCUAAGUACCCCGAGGAAAAGAAAUCAACCGAGAUUCCCCCAGUAGCGGCGAGCGAACGGGGAGGAGCCCAGAGCCUGAAUCAGCAUGUGUGUUAGUGGAAGCGUCUGGAAAGGCGCGCGAUACAGGGUGACAGCCCCGUACACAAAAGCGCAUGUGCUGUGAGCUCGAUGAGUAGGGCGGGACACGUGGUAUCCUGUCUGAAUAUGGGGGGACCAUCCUCCAAGGCUAAAUACUCCUGACUGACCGAUAGUGAACCAGUACCGUGAGGGAAAGGCGAAAAGAACCCCGGCGAGGGGAGUGAAAAAGAACCUGAAACCGUGUACGUACAAGCAGUGGGAGCACAGGUUUACCUGUGUGACUGCGUACCUUUUGUAUAAUGGGUCAGCGACUUAUAUUCUGUAGCAAGGUUAACCGUAUAGGGGAGCCGGAGGGAAACCGAGUCUUAACCGGGCGUUAAGUUGCAGGGUAUAGACCCGAAACCCGGUGAUCUAGCCAUGGGCAGGUUGAAGGUUGGGUAACACUAACUGGAGGACCGAACCGACUAAUGUUGAAAAAUUAGCGGAUGACCUGUGGCUGGGGGUGAAAGGCCAAUCAAACCGGGAGAUAGCUGGUUCUCCCCGAAAGCUAUUUAGGUAGCGCCUCGUGAAUUCAUCUCCGGGGGUAGAGCACUGUUUCGGCUAGGGGGCCAUCCCGGCUUACCAACCCGAUGCAAACUGCGAAUACCGGAGAAUGU
rnacentral:rRNA from 4 species